rnacentral:rRNA from 1 species
GAUGAACGCUGGCGGCGUGCCUAAUACAUGCAAGUCGAGCGAACAGACGAGGAGCUUGCUCCUCUGACGUUAGCGGCGGACGGGUGAGUAACACGUGGAUAACCUACCUAUAAGACUGGGAUAACUUCGGGAAACCGGAGCUAAUACCGGAUAAUAUAUUGAACCGCAUGGUUCAAUAGUGAAAGACGGUUUUGCUGUCACUUAUAGAUGGAUCCGCGCCGCAUUAGCUAGUUGGUAAGGUAACGGCUUACCAAGGCAACGAUGCGUAGCCGACGUGAGAGGGUGAUCGGGCACACUGGAAGUGAGACACGGUCCUGAGUCCUACGGGAGGCAGCAGUAGGGAAUCUUGCGAAAUGGGCGGAAGCCUGACGGAGGAACGCCGCGUGGGUGAUGAAGGUCUUCGGAUCGUAAAACUGUGUUAUGAGGGAAGAACGAAUUUGUAAGUAACUAUGCACGUCUUGACGGUACCUAAUCAGAAAGCCACGGCUAACUACGUG